UAGCUGCAAAUUGCAAUUAAAUAAAAGCUAAUGAGUACAUAACAUCCAACAACUGGACCAUAAAAGAUAACAAGUACAUAACAUGCCACGAACUAGACCACCCCAAGGAGGGGAAAGGAGCUUGUGCUGAAUUUGAGUUGGGACAAAACCAGUCAAACAUCCUUCUGUUUGAUCUUUUCCGAAGGAGAGCAUUUGUGAACAUAGGGUGUGUCCUCUCAUCUUAAAAUAAUGGAGGCCAUAAGAUAGUGGUUUCUUCUUGAUCCCUCUGCUAAUCAGAUAGUACGAAAUAAAAAGGAACCAGAAAUAAGUAUUUCGUUGCUGCUUUUUCUUCCCACUUGUUUUAUUUUUAUUGUAGUUACUUUUCAUUUUACAAGAACAUUGCAGGGAAACAGCAGUGCUACUUCAGCAAUAGGUCGAAUUGGAACAAAAAUGCCUAAUAAUAUCUCAUAUUAAACUAUUGAGGACAAUCUUGCAUUAAAGCGUGACCUAUUCCAACUCAUACAGACCUUAGCUUCACUCAGUUACUUAAGAGCAAGUCCAACAGAUGUCUUAUAUGAUGUCCUAAGUUAUAAUUUAGGACAUUUGAUUUAAAAAAAAAAAAUGUUGAUCCAACAAAGUCCUAGUGAUGCCUUAUAUAUCACUAGGACAACCUUUUCAACACUAAGAGGAGAGUAAAUCUGUUAGACAGUCAUUAGUACAGGCACUUGGGCUGGUUAGAUCUUGUGAAGACACCAUAUAUAGUUUUAUGGAUGACCAUCACAAUUCACAAGGCCAUUUAAUUUCCAGGUUUAAGAUACAAUUUCAACACCAGGGUCCACUGCGCAGCUACCAUGAAAUCAACAACACAGUGAAACAUUAACAAAUUAUGUUAGCGAAAAAAACAUUUACAAGGAUAACAUGUGCAGAAAAGCCAUCCAGAAGUUUUAUGAAAAACGUGCAAGGAUUGGAGCAGAGCAAUACCAAAGAAGUAGUACUAGUAAUAGGCUAUGCAGCAGUACAGGGUAGUAAGUAAUUUUUGAGUUGGUUACUCCCUGGAGGUAGUUAAAUGGGUGUUUUAUCAGAUUAUGUAUUUUAAAAAUUACUAUAUGAGCGGACUAAGGAGGAUAAUUCAUACGGUGCACAAGUACAUCAACACUAAGAGGAGAGUAAAUCUGCUAGACAGUCAUUAGUACAGGCACUUGGGCUGGUUAGAUCUUGCAAAGACACCAAAUAUAGUUUUAUGGAUAACCAUCACGGUUCACAAGGUCAUUUAAUUUUCAGGUUUAAGAUACAAUUUCAACACCAGGGUCCACUGUGCAGCUCCCAUGAAAUUAACCACAUAGUGAAACAUUAAUAAGUUAUGUUAGCGAAAAAAACAUUUACAAGGAUAACAUGUGCAGAAAAGUCUUCCAGAAGUUCUUUAAAAAUGAAAAAACGUGUCAGGAUUGGAGCAGAGCAAUACCAAAGAAUUAGUAAUAGGCUAUGCAGCAGUACAGGGUAUUUGAGUAAUUUUUGAGUUGGUUACUCCCUGGAGGUAGUUAAAAUGGGUGUAUUUUCAGAUUAUCUAUUUUAAUAUCAGAAAA
rnacentral:lncRNA from 1 species